UGGUUCAGUGGUCUAGAGGUUAAGUGUUCGCCUGUGACACUGAAGGUGAUGGGUUCGAGUCCCAACGUGGAAU
rnacentral:tRNA from 1 species